rnacentral:misc_RNA from 1 species
AGAAACAUCAGUGGCCAACAGAUCGCCAGAUCGUUGAGCUGCAUUGGCGGGAUUUCGCCGUCUUCGUUUCUCUUUCUUCGCGGACGAACACGCGCUGGGGCUGCAGGCUUGCAGAUCCCUGGUCCUUGACUGGAUAUGCGUUAGGGGCUUGUAGCUCAGUUGGUUAGAGCGCGCGCUUGAUAAGCGUGAGGUCGGAAGUUCAAGUCUUCCCAGGCCCACCACUUUCAUCGAGUGUGCAUUCGUCUUCUGGUUACGGGGCCAUAGCUCAGCUGGGAGAGCGCGUGCUUUGCAAGCAUGAGGUCGUCGGUUCGAUCCCGUCUGGCUCCACCAGAUGGUUUGAUCACCGAGAUCCUGUGCCGUCGUCCGCGAAACAUCACUUCGCACUUGCUAGUCCGGAUGGACAGUAAGCUGCGUGAUUUCUGACAUCGUAAAGAGGAGAUCGAUCCGAGUUGGAUCGUGCGGAGAAUAUCUGCGCGAGACUUCAUUAUCUCCGGAUCAUUUCGGCGCUCGCGCGCCUUUCAGUGUAGCUCACAAGGCUGCGUCUGAGAGAUGAGCGAGUUGUAAAUGAUCCUUUUAGCGAAGCUUGACCGCCUCGCUAUCGGAACGAUCUUACGAAGCAAGCUGGUCUUUCUAGUCAAUGUCCGGCUGCAGAUAGCGUUCAUCGAGGGCGCGUGCCGCAAGGUAAUUCUGCAGACAACAUUCUGCCGAGUGUGUGGACAUUGAUAAUGAGAGCAAUCAAGUGCCUUAAGGGUGUUCGGUGGAUGCCUUGGCGCUGAGAGGCGAUGAAGGACGUGCUACGCUGCGAUAAGCC